AGUCUGCCUCUGCCUAAUAUCUGAGGAGAGCUGACACACUGACAAGGCACUGAUCUCAAGCUCUGUGCGUUAGUGACGGCAGCCCAACAGAGACAAAAGACCAUCAGAGAGAGGGAGAGGACACACAGACUCACUCUGACUGGGAAGGAAAAGAAGAGGCUG